GAUGAAGAACGUAGCGAAAUGCGAUAAGUAAUGUGAAUUGCAGAAUUCAGUGAAUCAUCGAAUCUUUGAACGCACAUUGCGCCCACUGGUAUUCCGGUGGGCAUGCCUGUUCGAGCGUCAUUUCGACCCUCAAGCCCCCCUGCGGCUUGGUGUUGGGGCCCUGCGGUCUGCCGCAAGCCCCGAAAUGCAGUGGCGGCCCCGACCGAAACCCUAAGCGUAGUUGCAUCUCUCGCUUCUGGCGUGGCGGCGGGCGGCUUGCCGUAAAAACCCCCCACGGGCGGCCCACGGGCUUCUCGUGCUACGUACCCAAGGUUGACCUCGGAUCAGGUAGGAAUACCCGCUGAACUUAAGCAUAUCAAUAAGCGGAGGA
rnacentral:misc_RNA from 1 species